rnacentral:misc_RNA from 1 species
GGAAGUAAAAGUCGUAACAGGGUUUCCGUAGGUGAACCUGCGGAAGGAUCAUUAUUGUAUAACCGAGGUGCGAGGGCUGUCGCUGACCCGAAAGGUCGUGCACGCCCGAGUGCCCUCACACACAUCCAUCUCACCCCUAUGUGCACCACCGCGUGGGUCCCCCUUUGGCUCGUUCGGAGGGGGGCUUACGUUUUCACACAAACUCUGUAUGCAGUGUAGAAUGUAUUUUUUGUUUUUGCGAUCACGCAAUCAAUACAACUUUCAACAACGGAUCUCUUGGCUCUC